rnacentral:ncRNA from 1 species
AGUCUGCUCAGCGAUCGAGGUCCCCGGGAUCGCUUCCCGGGGCUAAGAGGGAAUUCGGUGAGGCGCUCCCGCGCCGAGGCCGAAGCUGCCCCCGCAACUGUGAGCGGCGAGCCUUCCGUCCAUCGUCCACUGGCGCCAUCGGUGCCGGGAAGGCCGGGCGGGACAGGCGACGACCCGCAAGCCAGGAGACCUGCCCCGAUCGUCGAGUACGU